UACGUAGGGCGCAAGCGUUAUCCGGAAUUAUUGGGCGUAAAGAGCUCGUAGGCGGUUUGUCGCGUCUGCUGUGAAAGUCCGGGGCUCAACUCCGGAUCUGCGGUGGGUACGGGCAGACUAGAGUGAUGUAGGGGGAGACUGGAAUUCCUGGUGUAGCGGUGAAAUGCGCAGAUAUCAGGAGGAACACCGAUGGCGAAGGCAGGUCUCUGGGCAUUAACUGACGCUGAGGAGCGAAAAGCAUGGGGAGCGAACAGG
rnacentral:rRNA from 1 species